rnacentral:rRNA from 1 species
AGGACGAACGCUGGCGGCGUGCUUAACACAUGCAAGUCGAGCGGUGAUCCUCCUUCGGGAGGUGAGCAGCGGCGAACGGGUGAGUAACACGUGGGCAACCUGCCCCUCACACUGGGAUAACCUCGGGAAACCGGGGCUAAUACCGGAUAUGACCUCGAGCGGCAUCUCUUGAGGUGGAAAGCUCCGACGGUGAGGGAUGGGCCCGCGGCCUAUCAGCUUGUUGGUGGGGUAAUGGCCUACCAAGGCGACGACGGGUAGCCGGCCUGAGAGGGCGACCGGCCACACUGGGACUGAGACACGGCCCAGACUCCUACGGGAGGCAGCAGUGGGGAAUAUUGCGCAAUGGGCGAAAGCCUGACGCAGCGACGCCGCGUGAGGGAUGAAGGCCUUCGGGUUGUAAACCUCUUUCAGCAGGGACGAAGCGAAAGUGACGGUACCUGCAGAAGAAGCACCGGCUAACUACGCGCCAGCAGCCGCGGU